GAUGAACGCUGGCGGCGUGCUUAACACAUGCAAGUCGAACGGAAAGGCUCCUGCUUGCAGGGGUACUCGAGUGGCGAACGGGUGAGUAACACGUGGGUGAUCUGCCCUGCACUUCGGGAUAAGCCUGGGAAACUGGGUCUAAUACCGGAUAGGACGAUGGUUUGGAUGCCAUUGUGGAAAGUUUUUCGGUGUGGGAUGAGCUCGCGGCCUAUCAGCUUGUUGGUGGGGUAAUGGCUUACCAAGGCGUCGACGGGUAGCCGGCCUGAGAAGGUGUACGGCCACAUUGGGACUGAGAUACGGCCCAGACUCCUACGGGAGGCAGCAGUGGGGAAUAUUGCACAAUGGGCGCAAGCCUGAUGCAGCGACGCCGCGUGGGGGAUGACGGCCUUCGGGUUGUAAACUCCUUUCGCUAGGGACGAAGCGUUUUGUGACGGUACCUGGAGAAGAAGCACCGGCUAACUACGUG
rnacentral:rRNA from 1 species